rnacentral:rRNA from 1 species
UACAGAGGUCUCAAGCGUUGUUCGGAUUCAUUGGGCGUAAAGGGCGCGUAGGUGGCCCGGUCAGUUCGUGGUGAAAGCGCGGGGCUCAACCCUGCGUCGGCCAUGAAUACUGCCGCGGCUGGAGCACUGUAGAGGCAGGCGGAAUUCCGGGUGUAGCGGUGGAAUGCGUAGAGAUCCGGAAGAACACCGGUGGCGAAGGCGGCCUGCUGG